GACGAACGCUGGCGGCGUGCUUAACACAUGCAAGUCGAACGGUGAAGCUCGGAGCUUGCUCUGGGUGGAUCAGUGGCGAACGGGUGAGUAACACGUGAGCAACCUGCCCCGGACUCUGGAAUAAGCGCUGGAAACGGUGUCUAAUACUGGAUACGAGACGGAACCGCAUGGUUACCGUUUGGAAAGUUUUUCGGUCUGGGAUGGGCUCGCGGCCUAUCAGCUUGUUGGUGAGGUAAUGGCUCACCAAGGCGACGACGGGUAGCCGGCCUGAGAGGGCGACCGGCCACACUGGGACUGAGACACGGCCCAGACUCCUACGGGAGGCAGCAGUGGGGAAUAUUGCACAAUGGGCGAAAGCCUGAUGCAGCGACGCCGCGUGAGGGAUGACGGCCUUCGGGUUGUAAACCUCUUUCAGCAGGGAAGAAGCUUUUGUGACGGUACCUGCAGAAGAAGCACCGGCUAACUACGUGCCAGCAGCCGCAGUAAGAC
rnacentral:rRNA from 1 species